rnacentral:lncRNA from 10 species
AGCGCUGUCCCUGGAGGGGAAUCUGCCCCUGGUGCUGGCACUGGCUCAACAGCUGGCACUGGAAAUCGCUGUAUUUCUGCACCUGAAGCAGGAGCUGAAAAAGGAGAGAGGUCACCAAUACCACUCACUUUCCACUGGAAUUUCCAAACAUGAAAACAACCUCAUUGAAUUUAAAGGAAUUUCAGCCUGAAAACAUUGUCCCUGGAAAGACUUCCAGACUGCAGGUGACCUCAGCAUGUGCCUGUGUCUCAAUGAGCUCCAGAGGCUCCAGCUGGACAAGGACAAUGUGCAGAUGUGGCCCUGGUGGGAUCACUGGUGAGGCCUGGCCUGGUAGCUCCAUCUGGGGCCUGAUGUCUACCUGGUGACUCCUGUCCUGUGGUACCUGGGCGGGGGGCUUCUGCCAAAUGGCCAGAGGCAUCUGGGGUGAGGGAUGAGCCUACAAGGGCGUCAUCAGCAAAGAAAGGCUCUCAGUCCUGCCAUUCCUGAAGCAGGAGCCUUGAGAUGUGGGGAUGCAGCACAAGAACAUCUUGCUCUCUUGAGCGUCUCCCACCAAGUGAGCUGGCUAUGGGGCUAAUGCUAGGAUGUGGGUGCCCGGUUAUCGGGAUUCUUUUUUUUUUUUGAGACAUAGUCUCAUUCUGUUGGCCAGGCUGGAGUGCAGUGGCAUGAUCUCGGCUCACUGCAACAUCCACCUACUGGGUUCAAUCAAUUCUCCUGCCUCUGUCUCCUGAGUAGCUGGGAUUACAGGCAUGAGACACGCACCACCACACCUGGCUAGGUUUUUUGUGUUUGUUUGUUUUUUGUAUUUUUAGUAGACAUGUGGUUUUACCAUGUUGGUCAAGCUGGUCUCGAUCUCCUGAUUUCAUGAUCCUCCUGCCUUGGCCUCCCAAAGUGCUGGGAUUACAGGUGUGAGCCACCGUGCCUGGCCUGGUUACCAGAAUUCUAAGUUCUGUUAGGGUCUGUUGCCAAGGAAGUGAGGUCGCUUCUUUAAGUUUCCAUCCCCUCGGCCUCCUCCUUCCAGAAAACCUUCUCAGGACCCCAGUGGGCUGCUGACUGCUCACCCUCCCCACAGGUCAACUCCUUACCUGUACACAGUUAUGUCCACCCAGGGCCUGCUUGGACACCUGCACCUGAUGUUCACCAGAGACCUAGGAAUCCACUUGCAGCCUGGGAUCCUACAGGGGCCUAAUGUUACCCUGCAGAUUGGGUAGCCACCUGGGGACCAGGUAUCAACCUGGGGACUGUGGUUGACCUGCGGGCUAAUGUCCACCUGGGGACUGGUUACUCACCUGAGGCCUGAUGUGCACCUGGGGCCCGAUGUCCCCCUCAGGGUGAAUUCCACCUCAGGCCUGUAUGUCCACCUGGGGCCUGAUGUCUGCCUUAGGUCUAUGUCCCACUGGGACCUUAUGUUCACCAGGGACUGGUAUCCAGCUGUGGCCUGAUGACCUACUGCAUUCUGUUGCUCACCUAUGGGCUGGUGUCUACCUGGGGCUUGGUGAUCACCUGGGAGCUGGAUAUCAGCCUGGGGCCUGGGUGUCCACUUAAGGCCUGAUGUGUGCCUGGGGCCUGAUUGUCCACCUGGGGACUGGGUGUCCACCUUGGGUCUGAUGUCUACCUGAAGUUAUUUAUCUACCUAAGGCUUGGUGUCUACCUGUGGCCUGAUGUCCACAUGAGUCUGGGGUUCGGUUGGGGCCUGCUGUACAUCUGGGACCUUGGUGUCUAUCUGAGGCCAGAUGUCUACCUGGUGACUGCCAUCCUCUUGAGGCCUGAUAUCCACCUGGGAAUGGUUUAUCCAUGGAAACGGUUAUGUCCACCUGGAGCUGGAUGUCGCCCAGGAGCUAGAUGUCCACCUGUGGCCCCGUGUCCACCUAGGGCCUGAUGUCCACAAGUUGGCCUGGUAUUCAUCUGGGGCCUUCAUGCUAAUGUGGCUUAAUGUACUCCUGGGUUCUAGUGUCCUCUUGGGACCUGAUGUCUACCAGGAUCCUGGUAUCCACCUGGGGCCUGGUAUCCACCUAGGGCUUGAUAUUCACCUGGGGCCUAAGAAUCCACUUGAUAACUGGUGCUCAUCAGGGUCCUGAUGUUCACCUUGGGACCGGGUAACCACCUGAGGCCUGAUGUCUACUUAGGGCAUAAGUGUUUAUCUGGGGUCUAGUGUUCACAUGGGGCCUGAUGUCAACCUUGAGCCUAGGUAUUCAUCAGGGGACGAGUGUCCAGCUGGGGCCAGAUGUUCACUUGGGGUCUGGUGUCAACUUGAAGCAUGGUUGUCAACCUAGGACCUGAUGUCCAGUCCAGUGUCCACCUUGGGCCUGUUUUCUAACUGGGGCCUGUGUGUCCACAUAGACCCUGGUGUCAAUUUGGGGCCGGGGUAUUAACAAGGGGCCUGGAUAUUCAUUGGUACAUUAUGUCUACUGGGGUCUUUGUGUCAAUCUGAGCUCUGAUGUCCACCUAGAGAUUGGGUAUCCACCUAAGGCCUGGUGUUUACAUGGGGCCUGUAACACGAGGUUCCAGAUGAACUCGGAUGUCCACCUGAGGCCUCAUGUCCACCUGAGUUCUGAGUGUUCACAUAGGGCCUGCCAUCAACUUGGGACCUAAGUAUUUACCUAGGGCCUGGGUGUCCACCUGGGGCCUGACUUCCAACUAGCUCUUGUGUCAACAUGGGGCCUGAUGUCCACUUUGGGCCUAGGUAACUUCCUGAUGACUAAUGCACACAUGGCUCCUAAGGACCAUCUGAGGCCUGGUAUUAAUUUAGAGACUGGUAUCCACCUGGGGUCCAGGUAUCCACUUGGGACCUGAUGUUCACCUGGAGUGUAGGAAUUCACGUGGGGCCUGGUGUCCACCUUGAGUGUGUGUAUCCAACUGAGUGCUGGUGUCCACCUGGAGUCCAGUGUAUACCUGGGGCCUGAUGUACAUAUGGGGCCUGGGCAUCCAUCUAGGACCUGAUGUUCAGAUAAGGGCUGGCGUUCUCCUGGCCUGGUGUCCAUGUGGAGCCUGGGUGUACAUUUGGAGCCUGAUGUCCCAGGUGGAUACCUGGGCCCCAGUGGUCAUCAGAUCCUAGGAAACUCUCAGGCCCCAGGUGCACAUAAAGCUCCAAGUGGCCACCUAGGCCACAGGUUGAUACACAGGGUCCAGGUGGACACUGGGUGCAAGAUGAACACCAGGCCCCUGGUGAACGCCAAGCCCCAGGUGUCUGCCUAGUCCUCAAGUGGACACCAGGCACUAGAUUGACACACAGUUACCAGGUGGAUAUCAGGCCGCAGAUGAACACCAGGCCCCAGGUGGGGUGGGUUACUUAUAGCAUAGGUGGCCAUCAGUUCCCAGGUCUAUAUCCACUCCCCACCUGAAAAUCAGGAUCCAGGUGAAUACCCAUGUCCUAGGUGAACACCAGGUUCCAAAUGAACAUCAGGCUCCAAGUGAACACACAGGCCCCAGUUCAAUACCAGCCUCAGGUAGACAUCAGGACCCAGGUGGACCCCAGGCCCAAUGUGCAUGCCUAGUCUCUUGGAAUACAUCAUUUUCAAGGUGGCCACCGAGAUUCCUGGUAGACAUCUGGUGCCAGGUGGAUAUCUGGCUGCAGGUGGACAUCAGGCCCCAGGUGGAGACCCAGUACACAGCUGUAAAUCAGGCUCCAGUAUUUCAUCAGGCCCCAGUUAAACACUUGACUAAAGGUGCGCAUCAAGACCCAGGUUGACCCCCAGGCUUCAGGUGCACACUAGGCCCAAAGUGUACACCCGUGCCCAGGUGGGCAUCAGGCCCAAGGUGUACACCAGACCCCAAGUGGACAUCAGGUUCCAGGUUGACACCAGUCUCUAGGUAGAUCCUUAAGUCCCAAUUGGUCAUCAGGCCCAAGGUGGAUGGAUACCUUGACCCCAGGGGGUCACCAGGUCCCAGGCAGGCCUCAGGUGGACACUAAGCCCUAGGUUAACACAAGGUCUGAGAUGGUUUCAGCCCCCAUGUGGACUUUAGUCAUAAGGAGCUUACCUAGGCCCUAUGUGGACAUCAGGUCCCAGGUUGACACAAUGAACCAUGUAGAAGUCAGGCUGUAAGUAGACACCCAGGCCCUAGGUAAAUACUUUGGUCCCAAGCCAACAUCAGGCCCUAUGUGGACAUCCAGACUCCAGGAAGAUGUCAGGCCCCAGGUGAACACUGAACUCAGGGUGGUCAUCAGGCCCUAGGUUGACACAUAGGCCUCAGGUAGACAACAGGCAUAGGUGAACUUCAGGCUCUAGAUGAAUGUUGGGCUCCAGGAAGAAGUCUGUGCCCCAAUUAAACACUGGGUCUUAGGUAGACAUCAGGCCUCAAAUGGAUGCCCAGGCCCCAGGUGGAUAUAAGGCCUCAGGCCCCAGGUAGACAUUAGACACGAAAUGGACACUCAGGCCACAAGUGAACAUCUGUCCCCAGGGGGACAUCCAUCCCAAGGUGGACAUCAGGCCAGAGAUGUACACCCAGGCCCCAGGAGAACCCCAGGCCCCAGGAGGACACUCAAGUGCCAGAAGGACACCCAGUCCCUAGGUAACUACAAGGCCCCAGGUGGACAUGAUGUUCCAGAUGGAUAUGAGGCCCCAAGUGGAUACUAGGCCCAGGUGGACCCCAGGUCUCAGGGGCACACCAGGCCCCAGGGGAACACCAGGCCCUAGGUAAGCAUGCAGUCCCAGGUGGACAUCAGGUGCCAGGAGGACACCAGGACCCAGUUGGUCAUCAAGCCACUGCUGAACACCAAUUCCCCAUGAACACCAGUCCUCAGGUGGGCACCUAGUCCUCUUGUGUGCAUCAGGUGCCAGGCUGACAUAGGCACCAGCUGAACUCUGGGCCUCAGGUGAACAUCAGAUCCCAGGUUGUCACCCAGGUCCCAGGUGAACACCAGGUUUUAGGUGGACACGAGGUCCUAGGUGGAUGUCUAUGCUCCUGGUGAACCUCAGGCCCUAGUGGACACUCAGGUUCAGCUGUCCACCUAGGGCAGGGUGUUCUUCUGGGACCCAGAGUCUACCUGAAAUCUUGUUAUCAACCUGGGUCCUAUGUGUCCACUUGGAGUCUGAUGUGCACCUGAAGCCUGAGUUUUCACCUAGGAUCUGAUGAGCACCUGGGGCCCAGGUUUCCAUCUGAAACAUCAGGCUCUAGUUAUACAUCUGGGCCCCAGGUAUACACUAGACACGAAAGGAACUCCAGCUCAUAUCUUAACAUGAGGUCCUAGGUGGAUGCCCAGGCCUCAUGUCUACAUUAGGCCUCAGGUAGACACGAUUCCAGGUGGGCAUCAGGCCUGAUAUUGGCUCUAUGUCUCCACCCAAAUCUCAUGUUGAAUUGUAAUCCCCAUGGGUUGAAGAAGGGGCCUGGUGAGAGGUGAUUGAAUCAUGGGGGCAGACUUCCCACUUGCUGUUCUCGUGAUAGAGUUCUUACGAGAUCUGGUUAUUUGAAAGUGUGUAGCACAUCCCCCUUCUCUCUCCCUCCUCCUCUCCCAUGGUAAAAAGGGCUUGCUUCCUCUUGGCUUUACAUCAUGAUUGUAAGUGGCCCGAGCCCGCCCAGUCAUUCUCCCUAUUAAGCCUAAAGAACUGUGGGUCAGUUAAACCUCUUUUCCUCAUAAGUUGCCCAAAAUCAGGUAGUUUUUUAUAACAGUGUGAAAACGGACAAGGUCUUAGGAUAACGACCAUGCUUCAGGCCAUAGGUGGACAUCUGGCUGCAACUGGACACUAUUCCCCAGGUGGAUACCUAGGCUCAAGGUUGACAUUAGUCCCCAGGUAAACAACAAGCCCCAGAUGAAUACCUAUGCCCUAAGUAGACAUCAGGCCUCAAGCUGACACUCAGUCUAACCUCAACAUUAGGCUCCAGGUGGACACCCAGACUCCAGGUGGACACUAGACCCCAGGGGUACACCAGACUCCUGGUAGGCAUAAGGCCCCAGGAGGACACUAGAAUCCAGGUGUACAUAAAGCCACUGAUUGACACCAAGCCCUCAGAUGAACACCAGGCCAACUAGUGGACGUUAGGCACAUGAGAAUACUUGGGCACCAGGUAGGUAUCAGGUCCCAGGUAAACAUCAAACUUCAGGUGGACAUCAUUCUCCAUGUGAACUCUAGCCCCAGCUAAACAUCAGGCUCCAGGUGGAAGCCCAGACCCCAGGAGCACUUCUGACCACAGUUGAACAUCUGUCCCCAGGUGAAUAUCAGACCAUGGAGGGAUAGCAAGUCCCCAGGUAGACAUCAGGUCAAAAGUGAAUAUAAGUCUCUAGGAAGACAUCUGGCCCCAGGUGGAUACUGAACUAGAGGUUUACAUCAGGCCCCAGGUUGACAGCAAGGCCCAGGUAGACAGCAGGCCCCAAAUGAAGACCAGGCCCAGGUGUAUACUGAACUAGAGGUUUACAUCAGACCCCAGAUUGACAUUCAAUCCCCAGGUGGUCAUGACACCUCAAUUGGACACCAAGUCCUCAGGUUGAUACCCAAGUCCCCGGUGGACACCAGGUCAAAGAUGAACACAAGACCUAAGGUUGACACUCAAGCCCCAAGUGGACACCAGGCCCUAGGUGAAUAAUAUGACCCAGGGGAUCAUUAGGACCCAGCUGCAUACCAGUCCCCAGGUGUACAUGAGGCCCCCAGUAGGUUCCUAAGCUCUAGUUCGACAUGAGGUCUCCAGUAGAGACCCAGGACUAAGGUGGACAUCAAGCAUCAGAUGGACGUCUGGCCAUGGAUGAACAUCAAGCCUCACAUGGAUACCUAGUCCCCAGGUAGACAUCAGACCCCAGUUUGACAUCAGUUUCUGGGUGGAUCCCUAAGCCCCAGGUGGAUAUCCAGUCUCCAGCUGAACAUCAGCCCCUCGUGGACGUCCAGGCCCCAGGUGGAUAUCAGGUCUCAGGUGAACACAAGUCCCCAGGCAGACAUCAGGCACCAGGUGCACACUCAGACCCCAAGAGGACAUGUGUCCCCAGGUUGACAUCACUCUCAAGGUGUGCAUUAGGCAACAGAUGUACACCCAGGUCCAAGGCAGACACGAGUCUCCAGUAAAACUCAAGGCCCCAGGAGGAUACUCAAGCCCUAGGUGGAUGCCCAGAUCCCAGGUAAUUACAAGGCCCCAGGUGGAUAUCAGAUUCCAGAUGAACAUUAGGCCCCAAGUGGAUAACUAGGCACCAGGUAGACAGGAGGCCCCAGGUGCAUCCCUCAGUCUCAGGUGCACACUAGGCCCCCGGUGAACACUGGCUCCAGGUGAGCACCCAGUCCAAGGUAGACACCAUGACCCAGGUGGUCAUUAGGCCACAGCUAAACACCAAUCUCAAGUGAACACCAGAUCCCAGGUGGGUACCUAGUCUCCAGGUGGAUAUCGGGCCCCAGGUGGACACCCAGCCCUCAGAUGAACAUCAAGCUUCAGGUGGACAUCAUGCCUCAGGUGAACUCCGGGUCCCAGCCCAGCUGAACAUCAGGCCGCAGGUGGAUGCCCAGGUUCCAGGUGCACAACAGGUCACAGUUGGACAUUCAGCCCCAUGUGAACAUCGGGCCAUGGGUGGACAAAGAGUCCACAGGUGGACAUCAGGUCAAAGGUGAACAUCAGUACUCAGGUGGACAUCAGGCUUCAGGUUGACAUCAAGCCCAAGGUGGACACUGAACUAGAGGUUUACAUCAGGCCCCAGGUUGACACCCAGGCUCAGGUGGACAUUAGGCCCCAGGUGGAUACCUAGACCCCUAGUAAACCUCAGAUUCUAGGUUGACAUUCAGGCCCCCAGUAGUCAUUUGGCCCCAUGUGGACACUCAGGCGCCAGGUUCACAUGAUGUCUUAACUGGACACCAAGGGGCCAGUCUGAUACCCAAGUCCUAUGUGGGUGCCAGGUCCAAGGUUACACUCAAGCCCCAAGUGGACACCAGGCCCUAGGUGAAUAAUACAACCCAGGUGGUCAUUAGGCCCCAGAUUGACACCAGUCCCCAGGUUAACCAGAAGCCCCCAGUGGGUACCGAGGCCCCAGUUGGACAUCAGGCCUAAUGUGGACACCCAGGAUCAAGAUGGACAUCAGGACUCACGUAGACAUCUGGUGACAGGUGGACAUCAAGCCUGGUGUGGAUACCUUGUCCCCCGGUGGUCAUCAGGCCCCAGUUCAAC